UGGCUCAGAUUGAACGCUGGCGGCAGGCCUAACACAUGCAAGUCGAGCGGUAACAUUUCUAGCUUGCUAGAAGAUGACGAGCGGCGGACGGGUGAGUAAUGCUUGGGAACAUGCCUUUAGGUGGGGGACAACAGUUGGAAACGACUGCUAAUACCGCAUAAUGUCUACGGACCAAAGUGGGGGACCUUCGGGCCUCACGCCUAAAGAUUGGCCCAAGUGGGAUUAGCUAGUUGGUGAGGUAAUGGCUCACCAAGGCGACGAUCCCUAGCUGGUUUGAGAGGAUGAUCAGCCACACUGGGACUGAGACACGGCCCAGACUCCUACGGGAGGCAGCAGUGGGGAAUAUUGCACAAUGGGCGCAAGCCUGAUGCAGCCAUGCCGCGUGUGUGAAGAAGGCCUUCGGGUUGUAAAGCACUUUCAGUAAGGAGGAAAGGUUGGAUGUUAAUAGCAUCAGCUGUGACGUUACUACAG
rnacentral:rRNA from 1 species